rnacentral:rRNA from 1 species
AUCAUGGCUCAGGACGAACGCUGGCGGCGUGCUUAACACAUGCAAGUCGAGCGGUAAGGCCCUUCGGGGUACACGAGCGGCGAACGGGUGAGUAACACGUGAGCAACCUGCCCCCGACUCUGGGAUAAGCGGUGGAAACGCCGUCUAAUACCGGAUACGACCCGCCACCUCAUGGUGUGCGAGUGGAAAGUUUUAUCGGUUGGGGAUGGGCUCGCGGCCUAUCAGCUUGUUGGUGGGGUAAAGGCCUACCAAGGCGAUUACGGGUAGCCGGCCUGAGAGGGCGACCGGCCACACUGGGACUGAGACACGGCCCAGACUCCUGCGGGAGGCAGCAGUGGGGAAUAUUGCACAAUGGGCGAAAGCCUGAUGCAGCGACGCCGCGCGGGGGAUGACGGCCUUCGGGUUGUAAACCUCUUUUACCACUAACGCAGGCUCCACGUUCUCGUGGGGUUGACGGUAGGUGGGGAAUAAGGACCGGCUAACUACGUGCCAACAGCCGCGGUAAUACGUAGGGUCCGAGCGUUGUCCGGAAUUAUUGGGCGUAAAGAGCUCGUAGGCGACGUGUCGCGUCUGCUGUGAAAGACCGGGGCUCAACUCCGGUUCUGCAGUGGAUACGGGCACGCUAGAGGUAGGUAGGGGAGACUGGAAUUCCUGGUGUAGCGGUGAAAUGCGCAGAUAUCAGGAGGAACACCGGUGCGAAGGCGGGUCUCUGGGCCUUACCUGACGCUGAGGAGCGAAAGCAUGGGGAGCGAACAGGAUUAGAUACCCUGGUAGUCCAUGCCGUAAACGUUGGGCGCUAGGUGUGGGGACUUUCCACGGUUUCCGCGCCGUAGCUAACGCAUUAAGCGCCCCGCCUGGGGAGUACGGCCGCAAGGCUAAAACUCAAAGGAAUUGACGGGGGCCCGCACAAGCGGCGGAGCAUGUUGCUUAAUUCGACGCAACGCGAAGAACCUUACCAAGGUUUGACAUCACCCGUGGACCUGUAGAGAUACAGGGUCAUUUAGUUGGUGGGUGACAGGUGGUGCAUGGCUGUCGUCAGCUCGUGUCGUGAGAUGUUGGGUUAAGUCCCGCAACGAGCGCAACCCUUGUUCCAUGUUGCCAGCACGUAAUAGUGGGGACUCAUGGGAGACUGCCGGGGUCAACUCGGAGGAAGGUGGGGACGACGUCAAGUCAUCAUGCCCCUUAUGUCUUGGGCUGCAAACAUGCUACAAUGGCCGGUACAAUGGGCGUGCGAGACCGUAAGGUGGAGCGAAUCCCUUAAAGCCGGUCUCAGUUCGGAUUGGGGUCUGCAACUCGACCCCAUGAAGGUGGAGUCGCUAGUAAUCGCGGAUCAGCAACGCCGCGGUGAAUACGUUCCCGGGCCUUGUACACACCGCCCGUCACGUCAUGAAAGUCGGCAACACCCGAAACUUGUGGCCUAACCCCUUGUGGGAGGGAAUGAGUGAAGGUGGGGCUGGCGAUUGGGACGAAGUCGUAACAAGGUAACCGUAAGUCGUAACAAGGUAGCCGUAAGUCGUAACAAGGUAGCCGUAAGUCGUAACAAGGUAGCCGUA